GAUGAACGCUGGCGGCGUGCCUAAUACAUGCAAGUCGAGCGAACAGACGAGGAGCUUGCUCCUCUGACGUUAGCGGCGGACGGGUGAGUAACACGUGGAUAACCUACCUAUAAGACUGGGAUCACUUCGGGAAACCGGAGCUAAUACCGGAUAAUAUAUUGAACCGCAUGGUUCAAUAGUGAAAGACGGUUUUGCUGUCACUUAUAGAUGGAUCCGCGCCGCAUUAGCUAGUUGGUAAGGUAACGGCUUACCAAGGCGACGAUGCGUAGCCGACCUGAGAGGGUGAUCGGCCACACUGGAACUGAGACACGGUCCAGACUCCUACGGGAGGCAGCAGUAGGGAAUCUUCCGCAAUGGGCGAAAGCCUGACGGAGCAACGCCGCGUGAGUGAUGAAGGUCUUCGGAUCGUAAAACUCUGUUAUUAGGGAAGAACAAAUGUGUAAGUAACUAUGCACGUCUUGACGGUACCUAAUCAGAAAGCCACGGCUAACUACGUG
rnacentral:rRNA from 1 species